rnacentral:tRNA from 1 species
UAUGUAGCUCAGUGGUAGAGCAGGUAUUUAGCAUGCAUGAGGCCCUGGGUUCAAUUCCCAGCAUA